rnacentral:lncRNA from 1 species
UUAGAUGCAUCUACAAUCCAACAACUUGUUGCUUUAUCAACUGUAUCGAUCCAAUAAUUAAUGUUGUUGGAUGAAAGUUAGGUGAUAGAAAUUAAUAUCAAACCUUGUGAAAUUGUUUAUGUACACUAUUGAUCUGAAAAAAGUUUGUAUCAAAGAGAGAAAACUAAAAGGCGAAUUAGUCUUGAAUCGAAGAGUAGAGGUAAGAUCUGCGUACAUUCUGAUAUUUUUCAAUUGAAUUUUGUGGAAUUACGUUGAAUAUGUUGUUGUUGUUGUCGUAAGUAGAGUGAUGGAAUUUGGAAGAGGUGAAUUGAAGGUAAGAGGUACAGCAGUAAUGGAGAAGAUGAAAUCAAUAGAAGAUAUUUUGAAGAUGUUGAUGGAUUCCCCAGUAGGAUUUAUCAUUUCAAUUGGGUUGAUUGUGAUUUUGUUGUCCUUAAUUUGUCGUUGCUGCUGCAGAGGAAAUAAUAAUAGGAGAAAUGUGGAGAUGAUGAAGGCUCAACGUCGUAGGAAAUAUACUUGAAGUCAGUGACGAAGUUAGAUUUUCAAAAAGAUAAAUAAAGUUCGUAUGGGAAAUUUAACAUCUUAUAUAUAUACUAGAUCGAGUUCAUCUAUCUACAUAGCAUAAUCUUUCAACAAAGGCGAUUCAAUUGUUCCACUGGCUCCUAAUUCGUUUUGAGCUAAGAGAUAUCAUCUAACUUGUGUAUUGUGUUGGCUGCACCCAGCACCACCAUGUCCACUGCCUGUAAUUCCUUUCAUUUUGAAUUUGAAGUUAGGAGGGUAUUACACGAGUUUGUAAAUCGAAAUGGAAAUCGAACAUUUCCUAGUUAAAAAGUGUGGAAUUUCGUUUGAGCUAUCAUUUGUCAGGACUCUUUGGCAUAAGAUGCUUGAUUUAGAUAUAAGACAUUUAUUCUGUUAUUAUUCUUGUGGCAUAAGAUGCUUGAUUUAGAUAUAAGACAUUUAUUCUGUUAUUA